GAGCUGGUAGGGGAUGCUGAGAGAUGCAGGUGGUUGAGGGCUGGUAGGUGGAUACGGCAGGAUGAUUAAAGCUGCCACACGUUAGAUGCGCAUGAAAGUGGAUAUUAUUGGACUGGGGUAUCCAAGAGACUAGUUGCUGUUGCUUAAAAUAUGUAAGUGAAUUUAUAAACAAAACUGACUGUAUAAACAGGCACCAGCUGGUUAUUUAGAACUAUAGGGCUGAAGAAUGUGGUAUUGUCAUAUUCAAAAAUGUUGGUAUCAUGACGUUUUUAUACAGUGACAUUACCGUGGUACUGGUAUACCGUGCAACACUAGUAUGUUAUGUCCUAUCAGUUGCUCUCAGUCUUUGCAGUAGUUGUGUAUCCACUCUCCAGGACAGUGAAGAAAACACUUGGUGCCGACACUUUGGAGCAACACUAAAUAACUGCGACUGGGAAUAACACAGUGCUAUUCCUCCUUUAUUUUUUGUUCUCCUCAUGAGGACUCUGAUGGGGAAGAGAAGAGACAACCUAGUGAAGAGGUUGUGUCAGAGGCUGAGCCUGCUACAGAGGACGAGAACAUGUCGGGCUGUUGCAUUGUGACUGAGAGCGACACAGACCUGGAGGUGGAGUACCAGGAGAGGGCUGGAGGCCGGAGAUCUUUAGGGGCAGACAGAGAGGCGGAAGCAGGGGGAGAGGGGGAGGAUAUGAGUCCCUGUCUGACUCCAACACAGUCAACCAGGACGAUAUCUCCUUCAGAAUCCUAGAGGGAGACAGCCUGUUGGAGCCAGAGGGGCCACAGCCUGAGAUGCCCCCGCUGUUCAUCCACCUCACCUGCUCUGUUAACAUGAAGAGCUGCCACGGAUCCAUGCCCAUAACUACGCUUCCCACCUGCCUGGGUGAGGUGAUCAUGUGUCUGGAGAAUGCCCCACAGGCUGUGAAUCUGAAUAAUCUGUCUGUCACACUGGACAUCUUUGUUCUCACCUUACCCCUGGAGAUAGAGGACAUGCAA